rnacentral:rRNA from 1 species
UAAGGAAUAUUGGUCAAUGGACGAAAGUCUGAACCAGCCAUCCCGCGUGCAGGAUGACUGCCCUAUGGGUUGUAAACUGCUUUUAGUAGAGAAGAAACGCAGUCAUUUAUGAUUGCCUGACGGUACCUACAGAAUAAGCACCGGCUAACUCCGUGCCAGCAGCCGCGGUAAUACGGAGGGUGCGAGCGUUAUCCGGAAUCACUGGGUUUAAAGGGUGCGUAGGCGGGGAAUUAAGUCAGUGGUGAAAUCU